rnacentral:sRNA from 1 species
UACCAUUCAUCAUUUACAUUUUGCUGA